GUACACUCCUACGGGAGGCAGCAGUGGGGAAUUUUGGACAAUGGGCGAAAGCCUGAUCCAGCAAUGCCGCGUGUGUGAAGAAGGCCUUCGGGUUGUAAAGCACUUUUGUCCGGAAAGAAAUCCUUGGCUCUAAUACAGUCGGGGGAUGACGGUACCGGAAGAAUAAGCACCGGCUAACUACGUGCCAGCAGCCGCGGUAAUACGUAGGGUGCGAGCGUUAAUCGGAAUUACUGGGCGUAAAGCGUGCGCAGGCGGUUUGCUAAGACCGAUGUGAAAUCCCCGGGCUCAACCUGGGAACUGCAUUGGUGACUGGCAGGCUAGAGUAUGGCAGAGGGGGGUAGAAUUCCACGUGUAGCAGUGAAAUGCGUAGAGAUGUGGAGGAAUACCGAUGGCGAAGGCAGCCCCCUGGGCCAAUACUGACGCUCAUGCACGAAAGCGUGGGGAGCAAACAGGAUUAGAAACCCGGGUAGUCCC
rnacentral:rRNA from 1 species